rnacentral:tRNA from 4 species
UAGACCCUAAAAAGUCUUUUAAA